rnacentral:lncRNA from 1 species
AAAACAUAUAGAGGGUCCGUAUCUCCAACCCAAAUUUCAGUUUUUUAAGGUCUGUGAAAGCUCACGUAUAUCCAUGUGAUAUAUUUUCUAAUUUUCCAAUAAAAUGGCAAUCAUUCUUACAGGAAAAAUAUACAAUAUCAUGUUUAUAUGACAUGACUUAUCUCAGUUAUCCACUAUUAAUUUCAUAAUUCUAUAAUUUAAUUUCAGGUGACAAUUAGAUGAGUUUUUCAUUAACUGAGUACAACUAUGUAAUGAAUACUCAGGUCAAGACCUACAGCAACUUUUGAUUCUGUAUCAUUCAUAUACAUACAUAUAUAUAUAUAUAUAUGCAUGUACAUAUAUAUAUAUAUAUAUAUAUAUACACACACAUGUGUAUAUGUGUAUAUAUAUGUGUGUGUGUAGGUGUAGUGCUAAAACCUGAUGAGAAUGUACUCACAUUAUAUUGUUGAUGGUAGGUGGGAUCAAAUGAAGUACUAAUUAUUUUCAUCUCUCCCCUAAAAUAUAUGUGCAUGUGUUCAUGUACUGGGGAUUGAACCCAGACCAGAUAGUGUCUUCCUUGGUCAGCUCCAUCCUGUGCUUGCAGCUUCCCUCACAUGGUGUCCCAUGGAUCCUCUGGUCUCCAUGGCAACUUAGGCUUAGCUUUCAUAUCUUCAUAUAUUAUUAGCCUAUCAGAGCCUCCUUGCAACUGAAGACCAAGUGCUCAAAACAUGAGAAUAUGGAAGACAUUUUAAGUCAAAGCAGAUAUGUUAUGACUCCAAAAUAUUUAAGGAGUUGUCCAUUUUUAAUAUGGAUUCUAAAAAAAGAUUUGUUUAUUUUUCCUUUAUCCAUAUUAAUGUUUCUUUGCAUGCAUGCAUGCAUAUUUAUAUACCACAUGCAUGCCUAUUAGAUCCCCCAAAACUGGACUCAUAGAUGGUUCUGAGCCACCAUGUGGGUGCUAGGGAUAAAAAUCAGAUCAUCAGCAAGAGCAACACAUACUCCUGACUGCUGAGCCCAAGAGUUUUCAGUUUAAUUCCUACAGUCACGUUGGUUUCUGCCAGAGCAUGAAUGGGUUUUCUCUGCCUUUGACUCACUGUGUUUCAAUAUUUCGCUUUGCUUCUUGUCAGAACAUUUAUCUGUGGCCAUACUUCCUUUACAGGCUCACUAUGUUUAAUGCCUACAAUGUCUAAAGUCAUUUAUUGACUUUGUAUCUUAUUAGAUGACUUAUUAGAUAUAAACCACUUAAGACAGUGUAUGGGGCCUGGUGAUAGCAGAUGCAGCAGUUAAUUAUAGAAGGAUUAGUAAGGGACAGAGGUGGUCACUUUACAAUGAUAUCCAGGUUUCUGGCUUGUGUAACUCAGUGGUAGUGUCAUUUAAGAAAAUAGAUAGUCUGGGUUGUAUGUAAUUUUCUUUAGGAUAAACUGCAAUUUAUUAUAUUGAGUUUAAAACAAUUUUAGGCCAUUCAAAUUGAGGUCAAUUGUAUGUAUGAGUUGAGAUUAGGAAAGAAUCUCAGGCUAGGAAUAUGAAUGUGAAAGCUACCAGACAUAUAUAAUAAACAUUACCAAUCUUUACUGCCAAAUUAUCUUAUGCUGGCCAGUUUGGUAAGUACUUUCUGAAUGUUACUACAGUUUUAAAAAUUGAUCACUGCAUUCUGAUAGUAGUCUACCAAGUGGUAAUAUUCUAGAUGAGGAAAUGAAUACCUAGAGAAGCUUGUUAUAUUUCCCCAGACCAUACAAGCUAAGUGGCAGAGGUUCCGUUUGAAUCCUGAUGUGCUUUGUCCAAGGCUGAGUACCUAUUUAGAAAAUAGGUAAUAUCAAUUAAGGAGAUAAUGUAAUUUGGGGAAAGAAGGCUACAGAUAGAAGGCCAGGGAGCUCUAAGAUCAAAAGGAUAUACAGGAAAGAAAAUAUUCCAACU